rnacentral:rRNA from 1 species
UACAGAGGUCCCAAGCGUUGUUCGGAUUCACUGGGCGUAAAGGGUGCGUAGGCGGUCGGAUAAGGCUGACGUGAAAUCUCCGGGCCUAACCCGGAAACUGCGUUGGAAACUAUCUGGCUAGAGGAAUGGAGGGGAGACUGGAAUACUUGGUGUAGCAGUGAAAUGCGUAGAUAUCAAGUGGAACACCAGUGGCGAAGGCGAGUCUCUGGACAUUUCCUGACGCUGAGGCACGAAAGCCAGGGGAGCAAACGGG